UACGGAGGUGGCAAGCGUUGCUCGGAAUCACUGGGCGUAAAGGGUGUGUAGGCGGUCCUCUAAGUUUGGUGUGAAAUCUCCCGGCUCAACCGGGAGGGUGCGCCGAAAACUGGAGGGCUAGAGUGCGGGAAGGGAGAGUGGAAUUCCUGGUGUAGCGGUGAAAUGCGUAGAUAUCAGGAGGAACACCGGUGGUGUAGACGGCUCUCUGGACCGCGACUGACGCUGAGACACGAAAGCGUGGGUAGCAAACAGG
rnacentral:rRNA from 1 species